GCCNCGGUACCGGGGACCUCUAGAGAUUCCUACGGGAGGCAGCAGUAGGGAAUCUUCCGCAAUGGACGAAAGUCUGACGGAGCAACGCCGCGUGAGUGAUGAAGGUUUUCGGAUCGUAAAGCUCUGUUGUUAGGGAAGAACAAGUGCGGGAGUCACUGCCCGCGCCUUGACGGUACCUAACCAGAAAGCCACGGCUAACUACGUGCCAGCAGCCGCGGUAAUACGUAGGUGGCAAGCGUUGUCCGGAAUUAUUGGGCGUAAAGCGCGCGCAGGCGGUCUUUUAAGUCUGAUGUGAAAGCCCCCGGCUCAACCGGGGAGGGUCAUUGGAAACUGGAGGACUUGAGUGCAGAAGAGGAGAGUGGAAUUCCACGUGUAGCGGUGAAAUGCGUAGAGAUGUGGAGGAACACCAGUGGCGAAGGCGACUCUCUGGUCUGUAACUGACGCUGAGGCGCGAAAGCGUGGGGAGCGAACAGGAUUAGAUACCCUGGUAGUCCACGCCGUAAACGAUGAGUGCUAAGUGUUAGAGGGUUUCCGCCCUUUAGUGCUGCAGCUAACGCAUUAAGCACUCCGCCUGGGGAGUACGGUCGCAAGACUGAAACUCAAAUGAAUUGACGG
rnacentral:rRNA from 2 species